UACGUAGGGUGCAAGCGUUGUCCGGAAUUAUUGGGCGUAAAGAGCUCGUAGGCGGUCUGUCGCGUCUGCUGUGAAAACUCAGGGCUUAACCCUGAGCUUGCAGUGGGUACGGGCAGACUAGAGUGCGGUAGGGGAGACUGGAAUUCCUGGUGUAGCGGUGAAAUGCGCAGAUAUCAGGAGGAACACCGAUGGCGAAGGCAGGUCACUGGGCCGCAACUGACGCUGGAGGAGCGAAAGCAUGGGGAGCGAACAGG
rnacentral:rRNA from 1 species